GUUCGAAAUUUUGGAAUUUGGGAAUUACGCAUUGUUAAAAAAUAUUGUUUUGCCGUAAUUCAUCCUUUGUUGUGUUUUUAAAUUAUUCCCUUAAAACUAUGGAACGAAAUAUAGAUGAAAAUAUGGAUGACUGUACGGCUAUUAUAAAAGUAAUGCAUUGCAGGAAUAUUCGAAUAUGCCUUUGCAUGCUCUGAACAGGUAAUAUAACAAAGUCAGAUGGUUAAGGUAACAUUUGUGGUUUAUAAUCUUAUAAAUGAUACAUAAGUGAAUGUUUCUAACGUGAAGAUAUCAAUGUUGGCAAGAUCACUUACAAACAUAAUUUUAUAUAAGAAUAUUGAGGCUAUAUAUCCUUGCACUAUUCACCGACACUACUGUAGUAUAGUCACAGAGUAAGUAUACAUACCGAUCGAGGUCUCACUUCAGGUUAAUUUAGCGUAAGGGAUUUUUUCAGUCCAUAUUCUUUGCAAUGUCGGAAAGAGAGAGGCUGUCACUCCCCUGGAAACAUAUUGAAAUAUAACAUUUCAGGAGCUCUCUUUAGGGCACUUGCGAUCUUGGCCGCCAGACUAUGCGCUGUAAUAACUACCUUACGGACGGUUUAGCCCCAUAAGUGAGACCUCUAGCUGUAUGUACUUACUCUGUGGUAUAUUGCAUAAACGUCACCCAUUGGAUAUUCCUGUGGGCCUUUGCGCCAUUUCUUUCUUCGAGCAAUCGAGGCUACUCUACUCGCUAUCUAUAUUCCUCGAUAGAUGAUAGAUAUAGAUAGCGAGUAGCAAAAAGGCUUCCAGCUCGUUUGUAUUGAAAAUAUUGUAAGUUUCGACAAACUAUAACGCCGUUCAGGGUCUUAGCUAGAGGGCCGUGUUGGCCGUGUCAUCGCGGCCAAAAGUGGGAAAACACGGCUAUAUAAGAUGAACGCGGCUUCACUUUUCAUAUAAGGCCGUGUAGGUUCAUUAAAUAAGGUGGUGCUACUUACAACAGACAGAAUUUCUUCCUAUUUACGUCGUAAGAAAGUUUGUAAAAUCUACUGUUGUUGUUGAAUUGGCAAAAUGAAUCUGUGAUGUUUUAAUGUUUUGAUGGAUAAUGGGAACUGUAUGGUGUUAAAAUGGUUUUUAAAUACCCCCAAGAGUUGCUGAAAUAACUUAAUAUUUUAAUGUCAGUGCGCAAUAUGAGCGUAUGCUCGCCUUGUGUUUGGUUGCAAAGCGUAGAGCAACCACAGGCAUUGUUGUUGGCGAGCAUAACAAAAACCGUCAUUUUGCUAUUCAAGGUAAUUCACAUGUGCACACCCUGGUCAUUAGAAACACGCCCAAGAUCUAAAAUCCUAGCUAAGACCAUGACGCCGUUUUCUGACCAUCAAAACCCUGUCAAAUCUCCCCCCAAAGUCCAGGAAAUGUUAUUUUUGAGACUCUAUGAAUUUAAAAAACUUCACUUAUAGUUUAUAGCGUCUGCGACGUUUGACUCGGGCCUUGGGCCCUCGUUUUCAGCCCCCCCCAAUCAAAAAGCGCUUCCUACGGCACUGCGAAUGUAUAAAAGGUUGUAAUGUUAAUAAAUAAAUAAAUAAAUAAAUAGAUGACGCGAGCAGAGCGAGCCUGCGUUCAGUGUUGCCGUAAUUGUGAAUACUUCAUGUUGAAACAAUGUUUAAGAAAAUAAUGGCGAGAGGUUGUUGCAUGCAUAUAUUUCUAGUAUAUGUCAUUAUACUUGAUUUGAUUUGAACGGUUCACUUAUUAUUAACAUAAAAGUUAUUAUACUACAUUGCAAACUAAUAAUUCAUGAUCAGAACUUUUUCUUUACUUGCUUUCCUCACAACACGAGGCGGAUCCCCACUUGCAUGCGUUGUAAUUUUCUCUUGAUUGAACAUCAUUCUUUACUUUCUCAAAAAUUUACAUUAAUAUAAAAAAUUAUUACUUGAACUACGUUCGCUAUACUAUCUCAACUUUGUCUUUUUUAUCCCCGUACUUUCAAUGUUAUGGAAACAUGUGUUCGUUUGUUUCCUAAUUUAUGCUAAUCAAUCAAUGUCAAUAUUUUACUACACUGCACGCAUAUAGUGGCGGACACUUUGCGAAAUCGUGAGGGGGGAGGCGGGGGGAAUUAGGUUGUCAACAUAUUACCACCUGUUGUUGGAAAUUGUUGCCUUAAAUUUCAUGCAAUAAGUAGCUUAAUUUAUGGCAUACGAAUGCUUUCAUGGUUGAAAAAUUAUCGUAACAUUUUGUCAUGCAAUUACUCUGCUAUUAUUCAAAGGCAUGCAGAUAUUAUUGGGGGUGGGUGCGGGGCGGUUUUUCUACCCCUGCCUCAUCCCUAGUGUCCGCCACUGCAUAAACUGUUUUUAUUCUACUUGUUGUCAUUAUAGUUUAUAUUCUUUGCACUUUGGUCAGUUGACUGUUGUCUCUGAUUAUCGUUGUAAGUGCAGACAUUUAUAUUUAUACUGUGCAUUACAAUGAGGUUCAUAUGUCCAGCUAAAAGGUCUAUGAGUUAAGCCUCGUUGGUUCCCAUGUUACGACGCACGUUUUUCUCACAUACUGGGAAACAAUGUCCUCUAUUGAAUACAGAUCUUCCUUCUUUUUGAACGAAGACCAACCAGCAGGUUUAUACUUGCUUAUCAGUUUUGGCAGUGUGGUAAUCCAGAACAUGAAGAUAGCUUCUGUAAUUGAUGGAAUGUUGGUCCACUUCCCGACUGCAACCACCGAUACAAAUACAAAUGUGAGAAAAACGAUCCACUUUCCAAGUUGAAAUAUUGACGAUGAAAUGGUUUUCUUCAAUGGAAUAUGCUUGUUGCACACAAUUUCGUAGAGUUCUUUUGGUAUCAUUUUCUUGUUUUUAAUAAAGAGUAUUGGAGCAUCACCAAGGCCUUUUUGUUGUUUUUCGCAUUCAUUAAAGAGCAACACUUUCAAAUUUAUGUACUUGUCAUUCAAAUUCCAAAUCGAACAUAUAACGUAAUAGCAAAGUCCAAGAGCGUAGACCAAGAACGAUUUGUAACAAGGGAGUCCCACAAUCAAACCCAUGCAUGUAAAACUAACUAUUUUCAACACGAAAUGCCAUGAAAAUGUCAUCAUUUGAAUGAAAAACAGUGCAGAUAGAAUGUUGAUACAGAAACAAACAGGGAAACAAAGCCAAGUGUAGAUGCUGUUCCCGAAUUUUUGGGUCAAGAGAACGAGGGGAAUAAAGCAAAUACAAGCAAGAAUUAAAAUAGCCAAUAGGUAUCAUAGAACAAAUGAUCACACAUGGAGCAAUAAGAUAUAUUAUGAACCAUGAACCCAUAACUAUCGUAAAAGUAAUAGCAAAUAACGCAACGAACGAUGAAGGGGAAAUAAGGAGGAGAAGGUACAAUAGUGAAUAACCUAUUAUCAUAUCCCACCAUGAAGGUGCAUCAUCGUGAUUGGCCCCAGCCGGUUCAGUUUGCCAUAUUCCUGCUAUAGGAAGCAUUUCACCUGUCCUGAAAAAGUGAGGCAACCAUCUGUUAUAAAGAAAUGGCCUGGCAGAGUACAAUAAUUUCCAGAAAUUAAAAGUAAAGAGAUGCUUAAGGUGUCGCCACAUGUUCUUACAAAGUAACUGAACACCAGUGACUUCCUCACUUGGUGUGUGUUUCAUUGCUGUACAGAUAAAACAACAACUGCUUUUAUUUUGUAGGUCACCUAUUAAUAUCAAUGAUUCGUCAACAACAUCAGUUAUGUUACCAGGAAGAGAAAACAUCAAACACGAAACAACAUAAGCUACCAUUUGGCAUACAAGGAAAAUGUCUGGGUUUAGGCAUAUUUGCACAAAGUCUGUCUUGAUUUGAGCUUGUUUUUGAAGAACUACUUCGUGUUUGAGUAGUAAUGAAUAUGAAAGCAAGGAAAAAAUAAGAAUAGCUGGAAGAAGAAUAGAGAAAAACAUAAAGCGAAAGACUCGUUGAUUUAGUUUUGCCAAAAGCAAGUGGGCUUCCGAUAACAAUAGAGCAGUCAGUGGCGUUGAAGUGUCAAAGUUCAUAUAAUCGUCCUCAUUUAUUUCUGCCCGAUUUAGUACAUUUGCCUCGGUAGGCUCCUCAGGUUUAGGGACAUCAUUUAUAUGAUUUUCAUGAACAUCAAAUUUAUUUCUUAAUACACUGCCCGAGUCAUAUGGUCUUGUUUUAGUACUGUCAUUUGGUAAGUAUGUUAUCAGCAAUGGUGUGAUUAGUACGAGCACACGUGAUACAAACCAGAUUGCCAUUAGAAUAAGUGACAAUGUUGUAUUUGGCACAAUCACACUAAAACCACUAUCUGGGUUAUAUACUGGGAAACAUCUGUACCGUAUUAAAGUACUGUAUGUAUGACAAACAAAGCUAUCGGAUGAUACAGCUUUGGCAGUUCCCGACAGCAUAUUCAGCACAUAUGUUAGCUGAUGGUCGCCAUAUAAUCGGCCAAAACAGCCCGCAGGUUUAGAAAUCACACGUAACUCAACGCUGUCUGUUUCUCUUGCUAAUGUUGUCAAUGACAAUAUGUAAUAGUCGUAAGGCAAAGAAAGGAUCUUUUUACCUUGGUCACUUUUUGUCCAAGCCCACCCCAGUGGGUCGUAUAUUGUAGAAAUAUCUUCACCAAACGAGAAUCUGUCUGUGUUGGAUUCAUCUACGAACAGCAAACGCGUAUAUAGAAGCUCAACAUUUCGGUCGUUAGCUCGAGUAAUGAACUGUUGCUUACUGCUCUCCUCGAUACUUACAUCACACGAUUGUUCGGUGCCCGUCGACAUAGUUAACAAGAUCAUGAAUAUCAGUAAUAUGAUUGCAUGGAAAUAUUGUACUGUAUUUACCAUUGUAUGAAUUUAAUUCCAUAAGGUUAGCACAGCUUUACCAGCGCAGAAGAAUUUUAGUUAGGAACGCCGUUCUCUCUGACGAAAAUUGAAUGCGAGAUAAUGCUUUUUGUCGAGAGAUUUGCAAUAUUUCUUGCGUUAUUGCACUUAUUUAUAUAAAUACUUAUCUUCAAA